UGGGAACCUUCCCUAUGGUUCGGAAUAGCUCAGGGAAACUUGGGGUAAUACCGGAUAAGCCCUACGGGGGAAAGAUUUAUCGCCAUUGGAUGGGCCCGCGUCGGAUUAGCUAGUUGGUGAGGUAACGGCUCACCAAGGCAACGAUCCGUAGCUGGUCUGAGAGGAUGAUCAGCCACACUGGGACUGAGACACGGCCCAGACUCCUACGGGAGGCAG
rnacentral:rRNA from 1 species